rnacentral:snRNA from 2 species
GGCUGCGUGGUGAGCACAAAGCGAACUAUUCUUUCGCCUUUUACUAAAGAAUACCGUGUGCGCGCCACAAGGAGCAGCGUACUCUAAUUUUUGGAGGGUGCUUCCUCCUUGACGAGGAAA